AGUAAUACAUCGGACGUGUCUUCUAGUGGGGGAUAACUGCCCGAAAGGGCAGCUAAUACCGCAUGAGACCUGAGGGUGAAAGCGGGGGAUCGCAAGACCUCGCGCUGGAAGAGCGGCCGAUGUCCGAUUAGCUAGUUGGUGAGGUAAAGGCUCACCAAGGCGACGAUCGGUAGCUGGUCUGAGAGGACGACCAGCCACACUGGGACUGAGACACGGCCCAG
rnacentral:rRNA from 1 species